rnacentral:rRNA from 1 species
CUACGGGUUGCAGCAGUGAGGAAUAUUGCACAAUGGGGGGAACCCUGAUGCAGCAACGCCGCGUGGGGGAUGACGCAUUUCGGUGUGUAAACUCCUUUUAUAUGUCAAGAAAAUGACGGUAGCAUAUGAAUAAGCACCGGCUAACUCCGUGCCAGCAGCCGCGGUAAUACGGAGGGUGCAAGCGUUACUCGGAAUCACUGGGCGUAAAGGACGCGUAGGCGGGUUGGAAAGUCAGGUGUGAAAUCCUACAGCUUAACUGUAGAACUGCACUUGAAACUUCUAAUCUAGAGUAUGGGAGGGGGAGAUGGAAUUAGUGGUGUAGGGGUAAAAUCCGUAGAUAUCACUAGGAAUACCCAAAGCGAAGGCGAUCCCCUGGAACAUUACUGACGCUAAGGCGUGAAAGCGUGGGGAGCAAACAGGAUUAGAUACCCUAGUAGUC